GAUGAACGCUGGCGGCGUGCCUAAUACAUGCAAGUCGAGCGAACGGACGAGAAGCUUGCUUCUCUGAUGUUAGUGGCGGACGGGUGAGUAACACGUGGAUAACCUACCUAUAAGACUGGGAUAACUUCGGGAAACCGGAGCUAAUACCGGAUAAUAUUUUGAACCGCAUGGUUCAAAAGUGAAAGACGGUCUUGCUGUCACUUAUAGAUGGAUCCGCGCUGCAUUAGCUAGUUGGUAAGGUAACGGCUUACCAAGGCAACGAUGCAUAGCCGACCUGAGAGAGGGAUCGGCGACACUGGAACUGAGACGCGGUCCAGACUCCUACGGGAGGCAGCAGUAGGGAAUCUUCCGCAAUGGGCGGAAGCCUGACGGAGCAACGCCACGUGAGUGAUGAAGGUCUUCGGAUCGUAAAACUCUGUUAUUAGGGAAGAACAUAUGUGUAAGUAACUGUGCACAUCUUGACGGUACCUAAUCAGAAAGCCACGGCUAACUACGUG
rnacentral:rRNA from 1 species